UAUUGAGCCAUCCGAGAGAUCCUUCCCGGUUUUUUCUUCGUGGGAGCUAGUGCUAACAUCGGAUGUUAGCUUGUUUUUUCUGAAUCUUCGACUCGUCAAAUUGUGUUACAGAUCGAGCACUCCUCUGUUAUCGUUUGCUUGUAGAAAUCUGGAAUGAUACGGAGACGGAGCGAAGGAAAAAGUUGUUGGAGCUGCGUGGAAUUGAUCCUGAUGAGUUUUUGCUGAACCUUCUACUAAUACUACGUACUGGCGGUUUGAUCGGACACUUGACAAUUUUUGGACCCAAGUGGACUCAUAAGGAAAAAGAAAGAAAAGGUUAAAACGACUUGAUGAAGUUUCUGUAGCCGCCGAUUGAAAUUAGCUUGUGAUAUUGUUCGGAAACAGAUGCUACAAGCCUAAGUUCAAGUGGUCCGAGUGUAUCUUAAAGAGCUGCAUGCUUUUCCAUCAAAGAAUUUAAAAGUGCUGCAUGCUUUGAAGCAUUGUCAUCGUUCCAUUCUGUUGGUUAUUGGGCAUUGCAGUAUCCAGAUGUUGAUACUACUUUUCUUGAUUGUAUUGGCAUCUUGGAAGUACAGGGUUCCUAACUGUUGCAGGUCAAGGGUGAAUCUACAGCCACCUGCGCUUUGUCUAGUUCUAGAAUAUAUAUCCAAGCUUCAUGAUGGCAAGCCUUAAAGAAAACAUGGCAGAGAAUAUACCACCUAAUUAUUUCCCCGGUGACCGGUAGUACAUACUUUAGAAGAUUGUAUAGGAACUCAAAUAUCUUUUUUAUCGAUCUUUUUGGUUGUGUCCAGCAUUAAAGUGUCAGUAUGCCUGUGUAGUAUUUAGAAUCGUGCAUUUUAUAGACUUACUGAUCUCCAAGUUUACCUUGGUCAUUCUUGUGCUGCUUUAGUUAUUCCAAACUUCUGUUGUACUCAACUAGUAAGAAUCUUAUCGGAUCUUAUUUGAUUUUGCAAAA